GAAGUUGAGGAAUUCUGGGGUCUGCAGCCACAGUGCUUGCUGCGGCUUUGCCUUUCAUAGUUCCCGCCACACAGCCUCAGUCGGGCUAGGCAGCAUGACCUGAGACAAGGCUGGGGUCCUGGCUGCGGGAGCUGGAGCGGUGGCGAGCAGGGCCUGUCUUAUGUGUUCCCGUGUUGUGGGGCUAGGAGCCAAGACGUGGCCUAGGAUGUGGUUCAUCUCCUCAUAGGAGACAGGGCAGGUGAGGGGAGGAGUCAUGGACCAAGCCUUGUAUGGGGUGGAAACAGGCCAGUGCGUCCUCAGGGACUUAGGCCCUUACCGGAGCUGCAUGUGUAUAUUUCAUUGUGUUGCACUCGCUUCCCUUCCCCUCCUCUCUUGAGGUCUUUUCCCUUCCCCAAACUUUCACACAUCACUGUUCACUUGAAUAGUUAAUUUAGUCUUAGAGAGAAAGUGAUCUUCCAAAUCUCAAAAUAUUCCUGCUCUGGGGAAGCAAAGCAUAGAAUUUUGACCUCAUCCUGUAAGGCAGUCUUCUCUCUUUUUACCCUUUUUUUCCCCGUGUUCCCAGAAACCUGUAUGCAUACGUGUAUAUUUUUUUCUCUUCGCACUUAUCUCAUUUUUCUUAAAUCUCUUUACUCUUCUUCCUGUGAGCUCUCUGAGGGCAAGUACUGUGUCUUAUAUAAAGUACGUGUAGAUGCUAGAAGUAGCUCAAUAAAUGAGUAAAUGAAUAAAUUCAUUACACAACCAGCUCUCUGAUCUGUUUCCUGCUUCUUCCUUAGCCCAGUGUUUCAAAGAGAAAAUCAUAACUAACGCUUCUGUGGUACCAUACUAUUUAAAAAAUUGCUCUUAUACAACAUUGUAAAUCAACUAUACUUGAAUUAAAAAAAAAAAAAGAAAUUGCAUUUACAUACUGGCUCAUUUACUCUUGUUUUUAUAUUAUGAUAUCUUCUAAAAAUACAGAAAAAUUUCAGGAAUGUAAUAGGCAUUGAUAGAGGUACCAUCAAGUUUUGUCAGGUCUGAAUUUUUUAAGGCUCAGGCUAUAAAGUUGAAGCUUCUGGUCAUGGUUUGUUACCUCCCUAGAAGUGACCACAAUUCUAAUUUCAUUGUAGAUCAAAUCGUAAUUCUCAUGCGUGGUUCUAGAGUUUUACUACUUAAUGUCUCUAAAGACAGUAAGUAAUAGCUCAUAUAAACAGCCAGGCAUUAUUAGUGUGCUUUUUGUGUUUUUUCUCCACAACAACCUAUGAGGUAGGUAAUUAUCUCUAUUUUACCCCUUAAAAAAUAAGGUGAGGAGAGUUAAGUAACUUGUCCAAGAUGUAGAGCAAAAAUUUGAACCUAUCAGUAAAUGCCACACUGUGUGUAUCCUGUAACUUGAGUUUCCUCCCUCAGCAUGUACACUUUUGAGAUUUAUCCAUGUUGAUAGUUAUGUCUCUGAUUUCAGUGUUUCAUAUUAUUCUGUUUUAUGACUUCCACGAUUCAUUCUUUCUCCUAUUGAUGGACAUUGGGGUUUUCCAAAUGUUUACUACUACAAAUUGGCUGCAGUGAAAUUGUAAAUAUUUUCUUAUACACAUGUGUAAGAGCUUCGCUCAUGUGUAGCUUGAGCAGAAAUGCUGGGUGUUUCUUUGGGUCUGCACAUCUCCUGCUUUUAGAUGUUGUGGAAUUAGUCUUCAAAGUGAUUGUAGAGAUUUGCACUCUUUCCAGCAACGAAUGUGAGUUCCAACUGCUUCCCAGUCUUGGAAACACUUGGUAAUUUCUACCUUCUUAAUUUUUGCCAAUCUAAGAGGUAUGAUCUAUUGACCAGUGGUGCUGUUGAACAUUUACUUUCAUAUUUAUUGGGCAUUCAUGUUUCUGGUGAAUUGCCUUUUCACAUUCUUUGCCUGUUCCAGGUAAUUUUUCUCUUCUUACCUUUUCUAUAGGAAUCCUGUAUCCAUUCGCAAUACUAAUCUUUUAUCUGUUACAGUCAUGUAUCUUCCAGUUUAUUUUGUGUACUUUUAAAAAAUUUAAGUACAAUACUGAAAAAUAAAUCGUAAGCAUAUAGAUAUGGAAAUUAUCACAAAGUGAUGGAAGUUUGUCAGAUUUUCACUCUUCUGAAGUUACAUGGACAUGUGCCUUAAUAGUUCCUUAUUUUAGAUACUUAGUGGCUGACAACCAUGCCCUACAGGUCAGAGAAAGUUUCUUAAAUUAUUUUGUGAUAAUUUCCUCCUCAGUUCUUAAUUUUAUCCUACUUUUUGGAUGUUGAACUUUGGGGGUGGUCCCUAAUAUUAUCUUAAACUUUCUUGCAUUUCUUCUUUUCUAACUCUACUUUCUUGGAGAUCUCCUCAGCUUUAUCUGCCAUUAUUUCUUUUGAGGUUUUCAUUUCUCUUGUCAUGUGUAAUUUCCAAGAUCUUUUUUCCCCAUAUGGUUCUCUGAAUGUUUUUAUAUUUCUCUUAGAUUUGUUUUCCGUUGCUCAUGUUAGAUAUUUUUCAAAUGGCUUGGUAAUCCUUGGUUGUCUGCUCGUAUCUAAGAGUAGGGACUAAACAUCUGAUUGGAAGCUCUGAACAUGUGGGUUGGGCUUGAUCGACUUUGAGAGUGUUCUCUGUAGGGUGAUCUGGCUGGGCUGCUUCCUUGGAAAACUUCCAGUGGGGAGUCAGCAUCAUUUGGUUCUUCCUCUUGGGUGGCCGGAUUUUGGGGACGAGAAUCCUCCAGUCUCCUGACUGGAGGGUUAAGGCCUGGCUUUGUUCGUUCUAGAAUCUGAGAGGCAAAAAA